rnacentral:rRNA from 1 species
CCUACGGGGGGCAGCAGUGGGGAAUAUUGGACAAUGGGCGAAAGCCUGAUCCAGCCAUGCCGCGUGUGUGAAGAAGGCCUUCGGGUUGUAAAGCACUUUCAGUGGGGAAGAAAGCCUUGGGGCUAAUACCCUCGAGGAAGGACAUCACCCACAGAAGAAGCACCGGCUAACUCCGUGCCAGCAGCCGCGGUAAUACGGAGGGUGCGAGCGUUAAUCGGAAUUACUGGGCGUAAAGCGCGCGUAGGCGGUCUGAUAAGCCGGUUGUGAAAGCCCCGGGCUCAACCUGGGAACGGCAUCCGGAACUGUCAGGCUAGAGUGCAGGAGAGGAAGGUAGAAUUCCCGGUGUAGCGGUGAAAUGCGUAGAGAUCGGGAGGAAUACCAGUGGCGAAGGCGGCCUUCUGGACUGUCACUGACGCUGAGGUGCGAAAGCGUGGGUAGCAAACAGGAUUAGAUACCCGUGUAGUC